rnacentral:rRNA from 1 species
UGGUGUAGCGGUGAAAUGCUUAGAUAUCACGAAGAACUCCGAUUGCGAAGGCAGCCUGCUAAGCUGCAACUGACAUUGAGGCUCGAAAGUGUGGGUAUCAAACAGGAUUAGAUACCCUGGUAGUCCACACGGUAAACGAUGAAUACUCGCUGUUUGCGAUAUACGGCAAGCGGCCAAGCGAAAGCGUUAAGUAUUCCACCUGGGGAGUACGCCGGCAACGGUGAAACUCAAAGGAAUUGACGGGGGCCCGCACAAGCGGAGGAACAUGUGGUUUAAUUCGAUGAUACGCGAGGAACCUUACCCGGGCUUAAAUUGCAGAUGAAUUACGGUGAAAGCCGUAAGCCGCAAGGCAUCUGUGAAGGUGCUGCAUGGUUGUCGUCAGCUCGUGCCGUGAGGUGUCGGCUUAAGUGCCAUAACGAGCGCAACCCUUGUUGUCAGUUACUAACAGGAUUUGCUGAGGACUCUGACAAGACUGCCAUCGUAAGAUGUGAGGAAGGUGGGGAUGACGUCAAAUCAGCACGGCCCUUACGUCCGGGGCUACACACGUGUUACAAUGGGGGGUACAGAGGGCCGCUACCACGCGAGUGGAUGCCAAUCCCCAAAACCUCUCUCAGUUCGGACUGGAGUCUGCAACCCGACUCCACGAAGCUGGAUUCGCUAGUAAUCGCGCAUCAGCCACGGCGCGGUGAAUACGUUCCCGGGCCUUGUACACACCGCCCGUCAAGCCAUGGGAGCCGGGGGUACCUGAAGUGCGUAACCGCGAGGAGCGCCCUAGGGUAAAACUGGUGACUGGGGCUAAGUCGUAACAAGGUAGCCGUACCGGAAGGUGCGGCUG